ACGAACGCUGGCGGCGUGCCUAAUACAUGCAAGUCGAGCGGAGUUUCAAGAAGCUUGCUUUUGAAACUUAGCGGCGGACGGGUGAGUAACACGUGGGCAACCUGCCCCUUAGACUGGGAUAACUCCGGGAAACCGGAGCUAAUACCGGAUAAUCCCUUUCUCCACCUGGAGAGAGGGUGAAAGAUGGCCUUCGGCUAUCACUAGGGGAUGGGCCCCGGCGCAUUAGCUAGUUGGUAAGUACGCUUACCAAGGCAACGAUGCGUAGCCGACCUGAGAGGUGAUCGGCCACACUGGGACUGAGACACGGCCCAGACUCCUACGGGAGGCAGCAG
rnacentral:rRNA from 1 species